rfam:Salmo salar isolate Sally breed double haploid chromosome ssa24, whole genome shotgun sequence.
UUCCCUGUGGCUCAGUUGGUAGAGCAUGGUGUUUGCAACGCCAGCAUCGUGUGUGCAACGCCAGGGUUGUGGGUUCGAUUCCCACGGGGGGCA